rnacentral:rRNA from 2 species
AACUUUCAACAACGGAUCUCUUGGUUCCGGCAUCGAUGAAGAACGCAGCGAAAUGCGAUAAGUAAUGUGAAUUGCAGAAUUCCGUGAAUCAUCGAAUCUUUGAACGCACAUUGCGCCCUCUGGUAUUCCGGGGGGCAUGCCUGUUCGAGCGUCAUUU